AAACUUCUCCAAUUUAGCCAUGCUAGUCNGUACGAGUUUACACUCGUAGCGAAUAGCUCAGUAACACGUGGCCAAACUACCCUUCGGAGCACCAUACCCUCGGGAAACUGAGGCUAAUAGUGCAUACCACAGUCCACCUGGAAUGAGGACUGUGCCAAACGCUCCGGCGCCGAAGGAUGUGGCUGCGGCCGAUUAGGUAGACGGUGGGGUAACGGCCCACCGUGCCAAUAAUCGGUACGGGUCAUGAGAGUGAGAACCCGGAGACGGAAUCUGAGACAAGAUUCCGGGCCCUACGGGGCGCAGCAGGCGCGAAACCUUUACACUGCACGCCAGUGCGAUAAGGGACCCCGAGUGCGAGGGGCAUACAGUCCUCGCUUUUCACGACCGUAGGGAGGUCGUGGAAUAAGAGCUGGGCAAGACCGGUGCCAGCCGCCGCGGUAAUACCGGCAGCUCGAGUGAUGGCCGAUUUUAUUGGGCCUAAAGCGUCCGUAGCCGGCCACACAAGUCCAUCGGGAAAUCCGCCAGCCCAACUGGCGGGCGUCCGGUGGAAACUGUGUGGNUCGGGACCGGAAGACCCAACAGGUACGUCUUGGGUAGGAGUGAAAUCCUGUAAUCCUGGACGGACCACCGAUGGCGAAAAGCAUGUUGGGAAGACGGAUCCCACGGUGAGGGGACNAAAGCCAAGGGUNUCGAACCGGAUUAGAUACCCGGGUAGUCCUGGCCNUAAACAAUGUNUGCUAGG
rnacentral:rRNA from 1 species